CCUACGGGAGGCAGCAGUGAGGAAUAUUGGUCAAUGGGCGGGAGCCUGAACCAGCCAAGCCGCGUGAGGGAAGAAGGUACUGCGGAUCGUAAACCUCUUUUGUCGGAGAACAAAACCCGGGACGAGUCCCGGACUGCGUGUAUCCGAAGAAAAAGCAUCGGCUAACUCCGUGCCAGCAGCCGCGGUAAUACGGAGGAUGCGAGCGUUAUCCGGAUUUAUUGGGUUUAAAGGGUGCGUAGGCGGUCUGUUAAGUGAGCGGUAAAAUUGCGGGGCUCAACCCCGUCGAGCCGUUGAAACUGGCGGACUUGAGUUGGCGAGAAGUAGGCGGAAUGCGUGGUGUAGCGGUGAAAUGCAUAGAUAUCGCGAAGAACUCCGAUUGCGAAGGCAGCGUACUGGCGCCAGACUGACGCUGAGGCACGAAAGCGCGGGGAUCGAACAGGAUUAGAUACCCGAGUAGUC
rnacentral:rRNA from 1 species